AACGCAUAUUGCGCUCUUUGGUAUUCCGAAGAGCAUGCUUGUUUGAGUAUCAGUAAACACCUCAAAAGAUUUUCUUUAUUGAAAUGAUUUUGGACUUGAGCAAUCCCAACACCAGUCUUCACGGAUCGGCGGAGGGUUGCUUGAAAUGCAGGUGCAGCUGGACAUUCUCCUGAGCUAAAAGCAUAUCUAUUUAGUCCCGUCAAACGGAUUAUUACUUUUGCUGCAGCUAACAUAAAGGGAGUUUGACCAUUUUGGCUGACUGAUGCAGGAUUUCACAAGGGUCGGUAAAACGAUUUUUGUAAAACUCGAUCUCAAAUCAAGUAAGACUACCCGCUGAACUUAA
rnacentral:misc_RNA from 1 species